UGCCGCCUACGGGGGGCAGCAGUGGGGGAUAUUGCACAAUGGGGGAAACCCUGAUGCAGCGACGCCGCGUGGGUGAAGAAGCGCCUCGGCGCGUAAAGCCCUGUCAGCAGGGAAGAAGAUGACGGUACCUGAAGAAGAAGCCCCGGCUAACUACGUGCCAGCAGCCGCGGUAAUACGUAGGGGGCAAGCGUUAUCCGGAUUUACUGGGUGUAAAGGGGGCGCAGACGGCGAUGCAAGCCAGGAGUGAAAGCCCGGGGCCCAACCCCGGGCCUGCUCUUGGACCUGCGUGGCUAG
rnacentral:rRNA from 1 species